rnacentral:rRNA from 1 species
UACAGAGGUGGCAAGCGUUGUUCGGAAUUACUGGGCGUAAAGGGCGCGUAGGCGGUCUUGUAAGUCUUGUGUGAAAUCCCUCGGCUUAACUGAGGAACUGCACGGGAUACUGCGAGACUUGAGUUCGGGAGAGGGAAGCGGAAUUCCGGGUGUAGCGGUGAAAUGCGUAGAUAUCCGGAGGAACACCGGUGGCGAAGGCGGCUUCCUGGACCGAUUAC